GGGGUUGACUGGUUUUGACAGCGGGCAGAAGUGAUUUGUAAGCAUGCAGUGCGUCGUUGUUCGGCACUUAAAUCUCGGAUGAUACAAAUUUAACUGGCGAAAAUACUUACGCUAUGGCUGCCUAAUCGAAGUACAGUAGAUUAUUUGGCUUCAUCCCCACUCAAGGAGAGGGGACCAUACAUCACCCGGAAGCUCUGGCUUCGAAGCAAUCCGAAACGGUGGUGCGGCAAUAUCGGAGAUAGUCUGGGGAGCGUCCCGAGCCUCAGAUGAAAUAAAGGGACUAAGCUCGGCAUUGGUGGCUUCGGUCUUGUGCAGAGUCGAAUAAACAAAGCGAAGAUAAGCAUGUAGAAAGCAAGUUAAUUCCUCGUUUGGACGAGGGUUCGAAUCCCUCCAACUCCAC
rnacentral:tmRNA from 1 species